AUUGAACGCUGGCGGCAGGCUUAACACAUGCAAGUCGAACGAGUGGCGGACGGGUGAGUAAUGCUUGGGAAUCUAGCUUAUGGAGGGGGAUAACUACGGGAAACUGUAGCUAAUACCGCGUACAUUAGGAUGUGCCCAAGUGGGAUUAGGUAGUUGGUGUGGUAAAGGCUCACCAAGCCGACGAUCUCCACCUGGUCUGAGAGGAUGACCGGCCACACUGGAACUGAGACACGGUCCAGACUCCUACGGGAGGCAGCAGUGGGGAAUAUUGCUCAAUGGGCGCAAGCCUGAUGCAGCCAUGCCGCGUGUGUGAAGAAGGCCUUCGGGUUGUAAAGCACUUUCAGCGAGGAGGCGUUACUCGCAGAAGAAGCACCGGCUAACUCCGUGCCAGCAGCCGCGGUAAUAC
rnacentral:rRNA from 1 species